rnacentral:rRNA from 1 species
AUUGAACGCUGGCGGCAUGCUUUACACAUGCAAGUCGAACGGCAGCGCGGGCUUCGGCCUGGCGGCGAGUGGCGAACGGGUGAAUAAUGCAUCGGAACGUGCCCAGUAGUGGGGGAUAGCCCGGCGAAAGCCGGAUUAAUACCGCAUACGACCUGAGGGUGAAAGCGGGGGACCGAAAGGCCUCGCGCUAUUGGAGCGGCCGAUGUCGGAUUAGCUAGUUGGUGGGGUAAAGGCUUACCAAGGCGACGAUCCGUAGCUGGUCUGAGAGGACGACCAGCCACACUGGGACUGAGACACGGCCCAGACUCCUACGGGAGGCAGCAGUGGGGAAUUUUGGACAAUGGGGGCAACCCUGAUCCAGCCAUGCCGCGUGCGGGAAGAAGGCCUUCGGGUUGUAAACCGCUUUUGUUCGGGAAGAAAUCCUCUGGGCUAAUACCCCGGGGGGAUGACGGUACCGGAAGAAUAAGCACCGGCUAACUACGUG